rnacentral:tRNA from 1 species
GUCCACGUAGUUUAACUAUUUAAAAUAUCGGUCUUGUAAACCGAAGCAAGGUAUACACCUCUUGGACU